GACGAACGCUGGCGGCGUGCCUAAUACAUGCAAGUAGAACGCUGAAGAGAGGAGCUUGCUCUUCUUGGAUGAGUUGCGAACGGGUGAGUAACGCGUAGGUAACCUGCCUUGUAGCGGGGGAUAACUAUUGGAAACGAUAGCUAAUACCGCAUAACAAUGGAUGACACAUGUCAUUUAUUUGAAAGGGGCAAUUGCUCCACUACAAGAUGGACCUGCGUUGUAUUAGCUAGUAGGUGAGGUAAUGGCUCACCUAGGCGACGAUACAUAGCCGACCUGAGAGGGUGAUCGGCCACACUGGGACUGAGACACGGCCCAGACUCCUACGGGAGGCAGCAGUAGGGAAUCUUCGGCAAUGGGGGCAACCCUGACCGAGCAACGCCGCGUGAGUGAAGAAGGUUUUCGGAUCGUAAAGCUCUGUUGUAAGUCAAGAACGGGUGUGAGAGUGGAAAGUUCACACUGUGACGGUAGC
rnacentral:rRNA from 1 species